CUAGCGUUGUUCGGAAUUACUGGGCGUAAAGCGCGCGUAGGCGGACCUGCAAGUCGGGGGUGAAAGCCCGAGGCUCAACCUCGGAACUGCCUUCGAUACUGCGGGUCUCGAGUCCGGGAGAGGUGAGUGGAAUUCCUAGUGUAGAGGUGAAAUUCGUAGAUAUUAGGAAGAACACCAGUGGCGAAGGCGGCUCACUGGCCCGGUACUGACGCUGAGGCGCGAAAGCGUGGGGAGCAAACAGG
rnacentral:rRNA from 1 species